AUGCUCAAAAUUCUCCAAGCCAGGCUUCAGCAAUAUGUGAACCAUGAACUUCCUGAUGUUCAAGCUGGUUUUAGAAAAGGCAGAGGAACCAGAGAUCAAAUGGCCAACACCCGCUGGAUCAUGGAAAAAGCAAGAGAGUUCCAGAAAAACAUCUAUUUCUGCUUUAUUGACUAUGCCAAAGCCUUUGACUGUGUGGAUCACAACAAACUGUGGAAAAUUCUGGAAGUGAUGGGAAUACCAGACCACCUGACCUGCCUCUUGAGAAAUCUGUAUGCAGGUCAGGAAGCAACAGUUAGAACUGGACAUGGAACAACAGACUGGUUCCAAAUAGGAAAAGGAAUACAUCAAGGCUGUAAAUUGUCACCCUGCUCAUUUAACUUUUAUGCAGAGUACAUCAUGAGAAAUGCUGGACUGGAAGAAACAGAAGCUGGAAUCAAGAUUGCUGGGAGAAAUAGCAAUAACCUCAGAUAUGCAGAUGAUACCACCGUUAUGGCAGAAAGUGAAGAGGAACUAAAAAGCCUCUUGAUGAAAGUGAAAGUGGAGAGUGAAAAAGUUGGCUUAAAGCUCAACAUUCAGAAAACAAAGAUCAUGGCAUCUGGUCCCAUCAGUUCAUUGGAAAUAGAUGGGGAAACAGUGGAAACAGUGUCAGACUUUAUUUUUUUGGGCUCCAAAAUCACUGCAGAUGGUGACUGCAGCCAUGAAAUUAAAAGACACUUACUCCUUGGAAGAAAAGUUAUGACCGACCUAGAUAGUAUAUUCAAAAGCAGAGACAUUACUUUGCCAUCUAAGUUCCGUCUAGUCAAGGCUAUGGUUUUUCCGGUGGUCAUAUAUGGAUGUGAGAGUUGGACUGUGAAGAAGGCUGAGCACCGAAGAAUUGAUACUUUUGAACUGUGGUGUUGGAGAAGACUCUUGAGAUUCCCUUGGACUGCAAGGAGAUCCAACCAGUCCAUUCUGAAGGAGAUCAGCCCUGGGAUUUCUUUGGAAGGAAUGAUGCUAAAGCUGAAACUCCAAUACUUUGGCCAUCUCAUGCGAAGAGUUGACUCAUUGGAAAAGACUCUGAUGCUGGGAGGGAUUGGGGGACAACAGAGGAUGAGAUGGCUGGAUGGCAUCACUGACUUGAUGAAUGUGAGUCUGAGUGAACUCCGGGAGAUGGUGAUGGACACGGAGGCCUGGCGUGCUGCGAUUUAUGGGGUCGCAAAGAGUCGGAUACGACUCAGUGACUGA
rnacentral:lncRNA from 1 species